rnacentral:miRNA from 2 species
CUGGAAUGCGAUCCCCCCGGUA